rnacentral:rRNA from 1 species
AUUGAACGCUGGCGGCAGGCCUAACACAUGCAAGUCGAACGGUAACAGGAAGCAGCUUGCUGCUUCGCUGACGAGUGGCGGACGGGUGAGUAAUGUCUGGGAAACUGCCUGAUGGAGGGGGAUAACUACUGGAAACGGUAGCUAAUACCGCAUAACGUCGCAAGACCAAAGAGGGGGACCUUAGGGCCUCUUGCCAUCGGAUGUGCCCAGAUGGGAUUAGCUAGUAGGGGGGGUAACGGCUCACCUAGGCGACGAUCCCUAGCUGGUCUGAGAGGAGGACCGGCCCAACUGAACUGAGAACCCGGCCAGACCCCCCACGGGGGGCGCAGGGGGGAAUUUUGGAAAAAGGGGGGAAACCUGGUCCAGGCCUUCCGCGGGGUUGAAGAAGGCCCUUCGGUUUGAAAGGCCCUUUGCGGGGGAAGAAAGGGAGUAAGUUAAAACCCUUUGGUUAUGACGUUUCCCCGAGAAAAAGCACCGGCCAACCCCCGG